GGGUUCUUGCCUAUGUUACAAGGUGUGAGAUUGAGCUCGGCUCAGUCACCGACCACGGCAAAAGAUAAAGAAGAGAUGAGUGUCAUCCCCUAUGCUUCAGCCAUAGGAUCUAUUAUGUAUGCCAUGCUAUGUACCAGACCUGAUGUAAACCUUGCCGUGAGUUUGGUAGCUAGAUACCAAAGUAAUCCCGGCAAGGAACACUGGACAGCAGUCAAGAAUAUCCUGAAGUACCUGAAAAGGACAAAGGACAUGUUUCUCGUUUAUGGAGGAGACGAAGAGCUUGUCGUAAAGGGUUACGUCGACGCUAGCUUCGACUCAGAUCCGGAUGACUCUAAGUCACAAACCGGAUACAUGUAUAUGUUGAAUGGUGGAGCAGUAAGCUGGUGCAGCUGCAAGCAGAGCGUCGUGGCGGGAUCUACGUGUGAGGCGGAGUACAUGGCAGCCUCGGAGGCAGCGCAUGAAGCGAUUUGGGUGAAGGAGUUCAUCACCGACCUAGGAGUCAUACCCAAUGCGUCGGGGCCAAUCAAACUCUUCUGUGACAACACUGGAGCUAUUGCCCUUGCCAAGGAGCCCAGGUUUCAUAAGAAGACCAUGCACAUCAAGCGUCGUUUCAACUCCAUCCGUGAAAAUGUUCAAGAUGGAGACAUAGAAAUUUGCAAAGUACAUACGGAUCUGAAU
rnacentral:rRNA from 1 species